CGGUGGAAUGCGCAGAUAUCAGGAGGAACACCGGUGGCGAAGGCGGGUCUCUGGGCAGUAACUGACGCUGAGGAGCGAAAGCGUGGGGAGCGAACAGGAUUAGAUACCCUGGUAGUCCACGCCGUAAACGGUGGGUACUAGGUGUGGGUUUCCUUCCUUGGGAUCCGUGCCGUAGCUAACGCAUUAAGUACCCCGCCUGGGGAGUACGGCCGCAAGGCUAAAACUCAAAGAAAUUGACGGGGGCCCGCACAAGCGGCGGAGCAUGUGGAUUAAUUCGAUGCAACGCGAAGAACCUUACCUGGGUUUGACAUGCACAGGACGCCGGCAGAGAUGUCGGUUCCCUUGUGGCCUGUGUGCAGGUGGUGCAUGGCUGUCGUCAGCUCGUGUCGUGAGAUGUUGGGUUAAGUCCCGCAACGAGCGCAACCCUUGUCUCAUGUUGCCAGCGGGUAAUGCCGGGGACUCGUGAGAGACUGCCGGGGUCAACUCGGAGGAAGGUGGGGAUGACGUCAAGUCAUCAUGCCCCUUAUGUCCAGGGCUUCACACAUGCUACAAUGGC
rnacentral:rRNA from 1 species